AUUGAACGCUGGCGGCAGGCCUAACACAUGCAAGUCGAGCGGAUGAAGGGAGCUUGCUCCUGGAUUCAGCGGCGGACGGGUGAGUAAUGCCUAGGAAUCUGCCUGGUAGUGGGGGAUAACGUCCGGAAACGGGCGCUAAUACCGCAUACGUCCUGAGGGAGAAAGUGGGGGAUCUUCGGACCUCACGCUAUCAGAUGAGCCUAGGUCGGAUUAGCUAGUUGGUGGGGCAAAGGCCUACCAAGGCGACGAUCCGUAACUGGUCUGAGAGGAUGAUCAGUCACACUGGAACUGAGACACGGUCCAGACUCCUACGGGAGGCAGCAGUGGGGAAUAUUGGACAAUGGGCGAGAGCCUGAUCCAGCCAUGCCGCGUGUGUGAAGAAGGUCUUCGGAUUGUAAAGCACUUUAAGUUGGGAGGAAGGGCAGUAAGUUAAUACCUUGCUGUUUUGACGUUACCAACAGAAUAAGCACCGGCUAACUUCGUG
rnacentral:rRNA from 1 species